UACAGAGGCCCCAAGCGUUACUGAGAAUCACUGGGUUUAAAGGGUGCGUAGGUGGCGCGUUAAGUCCGUUGUGAAAUCCCUUGGCUCAACCAAGGAAAUGCUUCGGAUACUGGCGUGCUUGAGGCUAGUAGGGGUCACUGGAACUGACGGUGGAGCGGUGAAAUGCGUAGAUAUCGUCAGGAACGCCGAUGGUGAAGACAGGUGACUGGGCUAGUUCUGACACUGAGGCACGAAAGCGUGGGUAGCGAACGGG
rnacentral:rRNA from 1 species